UGGGUAUGGCUUGUUUGUCCAGUCUUAAGAAUUGUCUGCUUCCUUGUUGUCCAGGGUUUGUGGAACCAUCUGAGGAUAGGUGAGAAGGAACAGGUUUAAUAGAAGCAUCUGUGUUUGUGAGAGGAGAUUGGAACAUCUGGAGGUCACUUCUCUGGAGCUGUCCUGGGUUUAGAAGCCUGCAGCCUCUGGUGCAGGUACUAUUCCCAAGACAAAGGGAAGGAAAGUACAAGGACUAAACACUGUGAAAAGCAAGUCCAGGCAGCCCCGCCCUGCCGCUAGAACUAACAGACCAUAAAAGGAAAGGAAUGCAGAACAGACCAGGAGUACCGGAUCUGACUCACAGGCCACCUGGCAGGAAGAGAUAAGCUCCCAGCCCCCGACAUCCAGGACGCCCCAAACCUGCCAAUGUGUGUAGCUAUACCUUAUUACCUCAUCAUGUAAAAUAGCCAAUCAUAUGUGAACAUGUCUAUGUGCCUCGUUUGAAUCCACCAAUCCCCGUAACUAUGCAUCUGCUUCUGUACGCCCGCUUCUGCUUCCCCAAUCCCUAUAAAAGCC
rnacentral:lncRNA from 1 species